GACGAACGCUGGCGGCGUGCUUAACACAUGCAAGUCGAACGGAAAGGCCCUGCUUUUGUUGUGUGCUCGAGUUGCGAACGGGUGAGUAACACGUGAGUAACCUGCCCUUGACUUUGGGAUAACUUCAGGAAACUGGGGCUAAUACCGGAUAUUAGCUCCUGCUGCAUGGUGGGGGUUGGAAAGUUUCGGCGGUUGGGGAUGGACUCGCGGCUUAUCAGCUUGUUGGUGGGGUAGUGGCUUACCAAGGCUUUGACGGGUAGCCGGCCUGAGAGGGUGACCGGCCACAUUGGGACUGAGAUACGGCCCAGACUCCUACGGGAGGCAGCAGUGGGGAAUAUUGCACAAUGGGCGGAAGCCUGAUGCAGCAACGCCGCGUGCGGGAUGACGGCCUUCGGGUUGUAAACCGCUUUCGCCUGUGACGAAGCGUGAGUGACGGUAAUGGGUAAAGAAGCACCGGCUAACUACGUG
rnacentral:rRNA from 1 species